UCUCCCCAAAGCAGGCUAUAAAAGCCGAAGGAGUUCUUCACCGAGGCAUCUUUCCCUCCUCACUGCCUCUUGCGGAGCUCCUCAGAUCCACUGUCAAGCCGCCGGAGGAAGCGGGCCAGGCUGCCGGAGGAAGCUCUCCAUCUCUUCCUCGGGGCUACAUUGCUGUGUACGGCCCUCGUCAGCGGGUUAUAAUAGCACGGCAUACGGUCUCACCAGCGGAUUAUAAUAGCUCGGCAUAUGGCCCUCGCUAGCAGGUUAUAAUAGCUCGGCAUUCAGCUUUGCCAACGGGUAAUAGUAGUUGGUAAAGAUUAUGGCCCUAUCAUGGAUAAUAAAUAGUGACCAUAGCUGCACUAUCAUCUGAGGGUAUGGAUUUCAAAGCAUGGAAUAAUAGCAAUGUUUUAUGAUGCAUAUCCAUAUUUAUGAAUUUGCAUGAUUGAGCAUGCAUUGCUUUAUUUUUAAUAUAUGUAUUAUGAAAUGUUUAUCUUGGAAUAUCUGUUAUUUUACUUAAUUAAUGUAUUGAAAUGGAGAAUAUUAUGCUUGAUCUGGUAAGAUUGUGCACGGUUAUUUACUGAGC